rnacentral:rRNA from 1 species
AUACGGAGGACGCGAGCGUUAUCCGGAUUCAUUGGGUUUAAAGGGUGCGCAGGCGGCCGUGCAAGUCAGCGGUGAAAGCCCGGGGCUCAACCCCGGAAGUGCCGUUGAUACUGCGUGGCUGGAAUGCGGUCGAGGCGGGCGGAACGUGGCGUGUAGCGGGGAAAUGCGUAGAUAUGCCACAGAAAGCCGAUAGCGGAGGCAGCUCGCCAGGCCUGCAUUGACGCUCGGGCACGAAAGCGUGGGGAUCGAACAGGAUUAGAUACCCUGGUAGUCCACGCCGUAAACGAUGGGCGCUCGUCGUCGGCGACAGACAGUCGGCGGCCAAGCGAAAGCGAUAAGCGCCCCACCUGGGGAGUACGGUCGCAAGGCUGAAACUCAAAUGAAUUGACGGGG